GACUUAAUGUCACGGUACCCAAUUUUCUGCCCCGGACUCCACGGCUGUUACUAGAG
rnacentral:misc_RNA from 1 species